CGAAACGAAGCAACUGAUUUGCCAUUUUUGCUGACGUGGCACGCCACGUCCCCGCGACAGCGUGUGAUAGGGGUGCCAAAAGACCUGUGUGCCCUCGUCUUUCUCCUCCGUUACCCCCCGGCUAACAGAGACCCGACGCCAUCCCCUUCCCCGUCUCCACUUCUCCCCCAGGCCUCCCUCCUCCCUGCCUCCCCGAUGAAAAACCCUAGGUCUAGAGCGGCGGCGGCUGCGGCGGCGGCCAUCCAUCUCCCAUUCCUCAUCUCCCCCGUUCCCCAUCUCCCCCCUUCCUUCCCUGCGUAGCGGGUCACCAGCGCCCGCUAGUCAUCCCUUCUUCCCCCAUCCGCCACGCGCAAGCCAUGUCGCAGGUUGGAGCGUCAUCAAGUGUGAGGAGGCCGGUUGUAGAUGCUCUUGUCGGUGAGGAGACGGGCUUACCUUUGAUCCAGUGCCCUUUGUGCCGUAGGGCACGGGUAGUUGAGCGGCGCACACAGCAAGAUUCGGUGAACUACGGUCGGAUAUACAUAAAAUGUCCAAGGAAUGAUAGAUGGGUGAGUUUGAUUUUGGUUUUUUAGUUUCGGCAUUUGCAUUUGAUGUUAGACUCAUUUUCUUGACUUGAUGUUCAGAUUGCAGAUAAAUGUGAGUACUACAGGUGGCAAAGGUUUUAUUUCAAAGAUUUGGUUGAUGCCAAGGUGAUUGAAGUGCUUAAUUGGGAAGUUGAUGACCAAGUUGAUGACCAAGAAGUUGAGUCCAUGGGGCGUGCAGAGAGGGCAGUUGCAAGUUUGAAAUUUGAGAAGGAAGCCAUGGAGGCCAAGCUGGAUAAAAUGAUGAAUGCCUUGUUGCUGUUGACUGUGCUUCUUGUAGGAUUUAUGGGUGUUGUUGUUGGGAACAUGUUGAAGUAGUAGUAACAUUUGUGUUGUUGUUGUUGUUAGACUCAUUUGUAUUGUGUCUUGGUGUAAUCAAUGAAAAAUCACUUUUGUUUUUGGAUCACUGUGUUGAUUCCUGAAUUUCAUUCAUGGACAAGCAAUAUAGUUCAUGGCAAACAGAUACAGUUGACAACCAAAUAGGUCAUGGCAAACAGAUACAUCUUCAUUGCCAACAGAAUUUGUUCAUGAGCAAUGGCCGAGCAAUAUAGUUCAUGUCAAACAGAUAUACUUGACAGCCAAAUAGACAUUGUUGAUGGCCAACAG
rnacentral:lncRNA from 1 species